UAAGCAAGAAAUUUAAACCUAUAUAACCAAUAUUUUACCAAAUAGUUGGAUAUUAAAAACAUACUUCUGAUCAUUAUGUAGGUCAAAGAUAAAGUCGCAAUGGGAAUUAGAAUUUUAUUAAUUCAAUGAUAAUGAAAAUACGCCAUAACAAAACCUGUGGGUUGCAAAUAAAGCUGUGGUCAUAGAGAAGUUUAUGUAUUCCAGUUAUACUCUCUAAAUAUAAAAGGGAAAGGAAUAAAGCAACUAGAAGAUAACCUAUCACCCUGAGGUAGGCAGCUCCUGAACUGUACCUGGUGGGGAAGGCAGGGCAGAACUUCAGGAGGCCAGCUGGGAGCACGGUGAACACCAUGUCAGGAGCAGUCUCCAAGAAAGAGAAUUUAAUGUACAAAGGGAUGCCUAAAAUAUAUUUAAGAGCUAGCACCCUGACCCCUCUUAAGGAUGACUUGUGUUGCUGGGGAAAAAAUAAGAAGUGCUCGAUGUAGAAGGUGAAUAGCUUUAUAAUUCCCAGGAGAAUCUUGGUACCAGGACCACACAAGAAAGAACUUGGAGUCCCCAUGGCUAAUCCAGCAGAGAGAAAAGGAGGAACAGAGAUGCGAGAGAAAAUAAAGGGAACUCUUGGUGCAAUUCGGUGCUGCUGCAGGCCCAAGUCCAGAUUUCUGUGUGUGUGUGUGUCCCCAUGAUGAAAACAUCAUUAAAGUAAAAUAUCAUGAAUAGACUCUUAAGAAGCAGAGUCUACUUAAAGUCCUGGAAAAUAUGAAAGCACUAAUAUUCAUGGACAACUCUACACUCUGAAAGUUACUCCAAAUUUUGUUGAUCUCUCUUUUGUCUAGGAGUUUUUCAAAUUUUCUACCAUGAUCAUUUGUUAGUUUUAUAAUUACAUAAUAAAGGCAUUACAUCAUACAA